rnacentral:rRNA from 1 species
UGGGGAAUUGUUCACAAUGGGCGCAAGCCUGAUGACGCAACGCCGCGUGGGGGAUGAAGGUCUUCGGAUCGUAAACCCCUGUCGAAUGGGACGAAAGACUCGCGAGUGAAUACUUCGCGAGAGUGACGGUACCGUUAAAGGAAGCCACGGCUAACUCUGUGCCAGCAGCCGCGGUAAUACAGAGGUGGCAAGCGUUGUUCGGAAUUACUGGGCGUAAAGGGCGCGUGGGCGGCCCUCUAAGUCAGACGUGAAAUCCCCGGCUUAACCUGGGAACUGCGUCUGAUACUGAGGGGCUAGAGUGUGGAAGAGGGGGGUGGAAUUCCAGGUGUAGCGGUGAAAUGCGUAGGAUAUGUGGAAGAACACCGGUGGUGAAGACGGUUUACUGGGCUGUAACUGACGCUGAGGCGCGAAAGCAUGGGGAGCAAACAGGAUUAGAUACCCCAGUAGUCCCUGAGCGGGCUGGCAAGGCGCAU